rnacentral:rRNA from 1 species
AUGAUAUUAAUAGAGCUAAUAAAGCACAACAGGAGAAGAAUUAAGAGUGAAAAUCAGAUUGUGGCAAAAGAAUUUGAGCAACAAAUGAAGCCUAAUAAUAAACCAUCUAGUGUUGCUUCUGAAAUUAAAUUGAAAAGUGCAUGUUUAUUUGCCACCAAAUCUGAUAUUGAUGAGCUAGAUUUCAGCAAAUCUGUUUGCUAUGCUUUUGUGUGCAAAGAGGCAUUAUUUUCAUUCGAGGACGUGCCUUCCUCUUUGCCUCCUGCUGUCACUAACAUUUUGCAGGAGUUCGCUGACGUUUUUCCACAAGUCGUGCCACCGGGAUUACCGCCUAUUCGAGGGAUUGAGCAUCAGAUUGACUUAAUUCCCGGUGCUUCACUGCCAAACCGUGCACCAUACCGUACCAAUCCAGAGGAGACGAAGGAGAUUAUGCGUCAAGUACAAGAGCUUCUCGACAAAGGUUAUAUACGCGAAUCCCUUAGUCCUUGUGCUGUUCCUAUUAUUCUAGUGCCGAAAAAGGAUGGUACAUCACGUAUGUGUGUUGAUUGUAGAGGCAUUAAUAAUAUUACUAUUCGUUAUCGUCAUCCUAUUCCUAGGCUAGAUGAUAUGCUUGAUGAAUUGAGUGGCUCUACAAUAUUCUCCAAAGUUGAUUUGCGUAGUGGAUACCAUCAAAUUCGUAUGAAAUUUGGAGAUGAAUGGAAAACAGCAUUCAAAACUAAGUUUGGAUUAUAUGAGUGGUUAGUCAUGCCUUUUGGGUUAACUAAUGCACCUAGUACUUUCAUGAGAUUAAUGAACGAAGUUUUACGUGCUUUCAUUGGACGAUUUGUGGUAGUUUACUUUGAUGACAUACUGAUUUAUAGCAGAUCUUUGGAAGAACAUUUGGAACAUUUACGUGCUGUUUUUAUUGCUCUACGUGAUGCACGUUUGUUUGGUAACCUUGGGAAGUGCACCUUUUGCACCGACCGAGUAUCAUUUCUUGGCUAUGUUGUUACUCCACAGGGAAUUGAAGUUGACAAAGCCAAGAUUGAAGCUAUUGAGAGUUGGCCGCAGCCCAAAACGGUCACACAAGUGAGGAGUUUUCUUGGCCUCGCUGGAUUCUAUAGGCAUUUUGUGAGAGAUUUCAGCACCAUUGCUGCACCUCUCAACGAGCUUACAAAGAAGGAUGUGCCUUUUGUUUGGGGUACCGCACAGGAAGAAGCCUUCACGGUAUUGAAAGAUAAGUUGACACAUGCUCCUUUACUCCAACUUCCUGAUUUUAAUAAGACUUUUGAGCUUGAAUGUGAUGCUAGUGGAAUUGGAUUAGGAGGUGUGUUAUUACAAGAUGGCAAACCUGUUGCAUACUUUUCUGAAAAAUUGAGUGGGCCUAGUCUGAAUUAUUCUACUUAUGAUAAAGAAUUAUAUGCUCUUGUUCGGACUUUAGAAACAUGGCAACAUUAUUUAUGGCCCAAAGAAAUUGUUAUACAUUCUGAUCAUGAAUCUUUGAAACAUAUUAAAAGUCAAGCUAAACUGAACCGUAGACAUGCUAAAUGGGUUGAAUUCAUUGAGACUUUCCCUUAUGUCAUUAAACACAAGAAGGGAAAAGAAAAUGUUAUUGCUGAUGCAUUGUCUCGUCGCUAUACUAUGCAUUCACAACUUGACUUCAAAAUAUUUGGUUUGGAGACCAUCAAAGAUCAAUAUGUGCAUGAUGCUGAUUUUAAAGAUGUAAUGCAGAAUUGUAAAGAAGGAAGAAUGUGGAACAAGUUUGUCGUUAACGAUGGAUUUGUGUUUCGUGCUAACAAGCUAUGCAUUCCAGCUAGCUCCGUUCGUCUUUUGUUGUUGCAGGAGGCGCAUGGAGGAGGAUUAAUGGGACACUUUGGCGUGAAGAAGACGGAGGACGUACUUGCUACACAUUUCUUUUGGCCAAAGAUGAUACGGGAUGUUGAGCGUUUUAUUGCUCGAUGCACUACAUGUCAAAAAGCUAAGUCACGACUCAAUCCUCAUGGUUUAUAUAUGCCUUUGCCUGUACCUAGUGUUCCUUGGGAGGAUAUAUCUAUGGACUUUGUUUUAGGUUUACCUCGAACAAAGAAGGGGAGGGAUAGCAUAUUUGUUGUCGUGGAUAGAUUCUCGAAAAUGGCACACUUUAUACCAUGUCAUAAAAGCGAUGAUGCUGUUAAUGUUGCUGAUUUGUUCUUUCGUGAAAUUAUUCGCUUGCAUGGUGUGCCAAAUACUAUUGUUUCAGAUCGUGAUACUAAAUUUCUUAGCCACUUUUGGAGAUGUUUAUGGGCUAAGUUGGGGACUAAACUGCUUUUUAGUACUACUUGUCACCCCCAAACUGAUGGACAAACUGAAGUAGUCAAUAGAACGUUGUCUACUAUGCUUAGGGCUGUUUUGAAGAAUAAUAAGAAAAUGUGGGAGGAAUGCUUGCCUCAUAUUGAAUUUGCUUAUAAUCGUUCAUUGCAUUCUACUACUAAGAUGUGCCCUUUUGAAGUUGUGUAUGGUUUCCUACCUCGUGCACCUAUUGAUUUGUUGCCUCUUCCAUCUUCGGAGAAGGUUAAUUUUGAUGCUAAACAACGUGCUGAAUUGAUUUUAAAAAUGCAUGAGUUAACUAAGGAAAACAUUGAGCAUAUGAAUGCUAAAUAUAAACUUGCUGGAGAUAAGGGUAGAAAACAUGUUGUGUUUGCACCUGGAGAUCUUGUUUGGUUACAUUUGCGUAAGGAUAGAUUUCCUGAUUUGCACAAAUCAAAGCUAAUGCCACGUGCUGAUGGUCCCUUUAAGGUGUUAGAGAAAAUAAAUGAUAAUGCAUAUAAACUUGAGCUGCCUGCAGAUUUUGGGGUUAGUCCCACUUUUAACAUUGCAGAUUUGAAGCCUUAUUUGGGUGAGGAAGAUGAACUUCCGUCGAGGACGACUUCAUUUCAAGAAGGGGAGGAUGAUGAGGACAUCAAUACAAUUGUUACACCCACAGCCCCUGCUGCUAUACAUACUGGACCAAUUACUAGAGCUCGUGCACGCCAACUAAAUUACCAGGUACUUUAG